rnacentral:lncRNA from 1 species
GGGAAAAGACGGUAGGAUAUGUACAUCUCUGCACGUAACUGAGUAAAUCAGAAAGUGGUGGGAGCAAUGGUUAUUCGUUGAGGGCACCUAUUUUGCCAUCAGUCCCAGUUGUGGGUUCCUGGACUCUGAAUGAGGUGACUCCUGUUCCUGUCCUGCCUCUGAUCCCAUCUGGGAUAUUCCCCAAAUCUCCUCCUACCUCAGUUUCCCUCUGUUGUCAGACAGAUAAAUAUUGUUUCCUCCCUUUGUAAAGCUCCCCAUGAAAUGCUGCUAAGACAGAGCAAGGUGUGGUGUUUUUAUGGCUGCUCUUUGCCUUGGGUUUGCAGAGGAAGCCUGCUCUCACCCCAAGGCACGGUGACCUGCCAGCACCAGCAGGAGGGAGCAGCCCCAGGACUCCCUGCAGAGGUAGCACUUUGAAGCAAAGGGUGUUGCAAGUGCAUAAAUCCCUUCCUACUAUGUGCUUCCUUGCCCUGGUGGCAUUUAUGGCUUGUUGCUGUGUUUUAGGAGCAUUAGGGAAAAUACAGAUAGUCUGGCAUUUUAUUACUCAUAUUUCUCUGCUCUUAAUGACUGAAUGGAGCACGACUUGCUAAUGAACUAGGCUGAAAUGAAUGCAUUUGUGGCACUAAUUGAAAUAAACCCAAGGUCUGGCUUUUCAAAAGGAGUAAAACCUCUAGCACUCUCAAAAAAAGAAAAGAAAAGAAAAGAAAAGAAAAGAAAAGAAAAGAAAAGAAAAGCCUCUUUUACUGUCUUUAACCCCUGCUUGUUGUCUUUCAGUACAGCUGCAUUUGGAUGCAACAGAGCAAGGCAGAUUCUGCUUGCGGGAACUAGGGAUUCAUGGUGCAGGAUGCUGGGGACUGGGCUUGGUGUUGCUCCCUUCCUCAUCUAUAAAAGCAGCUCAUUAGGGGCAGUAGGGUUCUCAGGUAGCAGAGGGUUAUGUGGAGAUGGCCUGGGAGCACAUGGAUGGAGGAGGAGAGUUACUCUGGCUUUACACCACACCAAGCGAGGACGGACUGCAGCAUUCAGGAUGCAGACAGAGGAGCAGUCCCCCAUGGAUCGGUGAGAUUUUCAGACAGAUCAAAUGUUGAGCUUCAGGUAAUUGGCAGAGAUCCUUUAAUGUCUGAGUUUAACACUCACCUACUAGAAGAGAACACAAUUAGGCAAUGAGAUGUGGAAGAGUCUGAAGUGCCAGGUAUAAUAAUUCAGCUGUAGUAGGCUGUUCAGCAGAAAGCUGAAGGCUGAGAGCUGUCAAUUACACCAGGGGUGAAUUAAUACAACCAAAUUCAUGCACUGAAGCAUCUUAUUAUUGCUAUGAUCACAUUUUAUUAUGAAGCAGUUUGGGUGAGGUUAUUUUUUUUUAAUUUAUUUAUCUAUGUUAAUUUUGUACAGAGGCAAAUAAGUUAUGAGUUGGGAAUUGUAUUAAUUUCAGUGCUUGGAAAUAUUUUAAUAGCCGAUUAGGUCGCUUGUUAGUUGUGUGGUUUUUUUUUACCCUUCUUUCUUUCUUUCUUCUUUUUCUGCUCAUUAUGAAAUUAGUGUUAUGUACAACAAGCACCAUGGGGUAGCAAAGCAUAACCCCUCUUGGUCCCCAUCCUACACAAAAUUUACUAGUAACCCUCCAAACUCAACUUCCAUACUGACAUUUCCUUACCUCCCCCAUGUACAUUGGAAGGGCUGGACUCUCUAGGGCAAACAGAAAAGGAUUUCACAGUCCAGAGGGAAAUCUCUCCAUCCUCCCCAAGACAAAUAAACUGCAUUACUGAAAGCA